GAUCCUCCCACCCUUUGUGUACCUACCUCUGUUGCUUUGGCGGGCCGCGGUUCUCCGCGGCCGCCCCCCUCCCCGGGGGGUGGCCAGCGCCCGCCAGAGGACCAUCAAACUCCAGUCAGUAAACGAUGCAGUCUGAAAAACAUUUAAUAAACUAAAACUUUCAACAACGGAUCUCUUGGUUCUGGCAUCGAUGAAGAACGCAGCGAAAUGCGAUAAGUAAUGUGAAUUGCAGAAUUCAGUGAAUCAUCGAAUCUUUGAACGCACAUUGCGCCCUUUGGUAUUCCGAAGGGCAUGCCUGUUCGAGCGUCAUUACAACCCUCAAGCUCUGCUUGGUAUUGGGCACCGUCCUUUGCGGGCGCGCCUCAAAGACCUCGGCGGUGGCGUCUUGCCUCAAGCGUAGUAGAACAUACAUCUCGCUUCGGAGCGCAGGGCGUCGCCCGCCGGACGAACCUUCUGAACUUUUCUCAAGGUUGACCUCGGAUCAGGUAGGUCUCGUUUCUGAACUUAAGCAUAUCAAUAA
rnacentral:rRNA from 1 species